ACGCUCUGACUGUGUGUCAGAGAGAAGGCUGGAUCAAGCUUGCAUUCUAUCUUCUAUCAUUCUUCUUGUAUCUAUAUGGAAUGAUAGUUGUAUUAAUUGCAGCAUAAGUAUAGAAGAGAUAUAAGUGAGAACAUGUUUAUACAUCAUUAAGUCAUAAUUUAUUGUUAGUCUCUGUAGAAACGGCUGUACGGUGGGAAAGCGAACAAGCGCAAUGGCUGUCAAUGACUGUAAUGUGCACAUGAAGUAUUUUGAUAUUAAAACAUUUAAUAUAGUGUCAA